UGGGGAAUAUUGCGCAAUGGGCGAAAGCCUGACGCAGCAACGCCGCGUGAAGGAUGAAGGGCUCCGGCUCGUAAACUUCUAUCGAUGGGGACGAAAAAAAUGACGGUACCCAAGUAAGAAGCCCCGGCUAACUACGUGCCAGCAGCCGCGGUAAUACGUAGGGGGCAAGCGUUAUCCGGAAUUACUGGGUGUAAAGGGUGAGUAGGCGGUCUUUUAAGUCAUAUGUGAAAUCCCCGAGCUUAACUCGGGAACUGCAUAAGAAACUGGAAGGCUAGAGUACAGGAGAGGCAAGUGGAAUUCCUAGUGUAGCGGUGAAAUGCGUAGAUAUUAGGAAGAACACCGGUGGCGAAGGCGACUUGCUGGACUGUAACUGACGCUGAGUCACGAAAGCGUGGGGAGCGAACA
rnacentral:rRNA from 1 species